rnacentral:rRNA from 1 species
GACGUAAGGCGCGAGCGUUGUCCGGAUUUAUUGGGCGUAAAGAGCUCGUAGGCGGCUUGUCGCGUCGACUGUGAAAUCCCGCGGCUCAACUGCGGGUCUGCAGUCGAUACAGGCAGGCUAGAGUUCGGUAGGGGAGACUGGAAUUCCUGGUGUAGCAGUGAAAUGCGCAGAUAUCAGGAGGAACACCGAUGGCGAAGGCAGGUCUCUGGGCCGAUACUGACGCUGAGGAGCGAAAGCGUGGGGAGCGAACAGG